rnacentral:lncRNA from 1 species
GAUAGCAGUCAGGUUUUGUUUUUUACUUUUCGGAUGUUGGAAUGAUAUGAAAUUUUAAAUCUAACUUAAGAAAAAUAAUUCUGACAUAUUUUUAAAUUUUCAUAAUUUUCUGACACUGUGAAUUUUCUGCUAAAAGAUUAGCCCCGUUACUUACAGAAAAUUCUAAAUCUCAUAUUUUUAUUCCAAUUUCACCACAAACUAUUUCUAAAUUAUCUUUUACUUUUUCUAAGUCAAUAAAAAUAGUAUUUCACACUACUUUUAUUUACACUUGAUUUUACUAAAAUAUCCUUCAAAAUCUGUAUUUUGCAGAACGGUGUACCGGUACUCGGACAGCUCCGGUACCUCGAAUCUAGUUCCUUAAAAUCCGAACGUUGGAUUCUCGGAUUUUCUAUUGUGUACCGGUACCAGCUUCCAGUACUGGCACCCAGUACAAUUUCAGUACCGGUACCCAGGUUCGAUUCCUCAAAAUCUGAGAGCCUAAUUUCCAGUCUUUGCAUUGCAUACCGGUACCCAAGCUUGGUACCGGUAGCCAAUGCAAAAUCUACAACUUAGGCAGAUUGCAUUCCUUUCAAGCUCGUUUUCGCAUCUAUUUUGCGCCGAAAACACUCAAUUGCUCUCCAAAGCUCGCCAGAACUUAUUUAAUUAGCUUCUUAAGCUAAUUCCCGCCUAAACUUCAUAAUUGCAGAACUUUGGUAUAUUAUACUUCCUUUCCCCCUCUCGUUUACCUCUACUCAUCCCCUCUUCCCUCUUCCUCCACGUCCUCUCCAAGCUCCAAUCCCAUUCCCAAAUCGCCCUCUCUUUUGGCCACAACCUUCUCCGCCCCGGACCCUCUCAGCCCUAU